AAGCUCGUAGUUGAAUUUCGGGGUCAGUAGGUUGGUCGUGCCACCGGUACGUACUGGUCUCACUGAUUCCUCCUUCCUGAUGAGCUGUAAUGCCAUUAAUUUGGUGUUGCAGGGAAUCUGGACUGUUACUUUGAAAAAAUUAGAGUGUUUAAAGCAGGCUAACGCUUGAAUACAUUAGCAUGGAAUAAUGAAAUAGGACGUUCGAUCCUAUUUUGUUGGUUUCUAGGAUUGACGUAAUGAUUAAUAGGAUAGUUGGG
rnacentral:rRNA from 1 species